AUGACAGGGAGGCCUGCGUCCGUGGGCCUGGCUGAUGUCCCAAUAUUUGAGAAGCUGAAGUUUGAAGCCUUCUUGAAUGAAAUAAUUCUAGGUCAGCUAUGGCUACAAAACGCGAUGCCGCACUGCCUGCUGGGAAGUGCCAUGGUCCACUUCCAUGCUUCUCAAGUCCAGCAGCUGCUACACAGCAAGUUCGCGGUCAUUUUGGGAGACUCCAUCCAAAGAGAGGUGUAAAAGGACCUGGUGCUUCUGCUCCAGAAGCACACACUGCUCACAGCUUCCCAGUUAAAAGCCAAGAUGAGAGAAGGGGAGCUGAGCUUUGCACAGGAUCAGCUGGUGGCUGGGGGGCCAGCUGGGAGAGCUGCACAAUGGGAAAUAGUGUUGCCAGGUCCGCCAGUUCUGCUCUGGUUCUGACCACUACUUUGUGUGCUUCUACUUCCUCACUCGUGUUACUCCGAGUACCUUGAGGACGUCUUGGAGGAGCUGUGAUAUGGACCUGCCCCUGACCUAGUGAUCAUCAACUCCUGACUCUGGGAUCUCUCCAGAUAUGGCUGCUGCUCAAUAGAGAGCUUCAGGGAGAAUUUGGAACGAGUGUUUGUACGAAUGGACCAUGUUUUGCCAGACUCUUUGUUUGCUGGUGUGGAACUUGGCAAUACCUUUUGGGGAAACUUGUCACUGGAGGUUUCUUCCUGCCAGGCUCCAUCCCUUGGCCGUCUCUCUGCUACAGGAUGUGGUUGAGAGGAACUUCUACAAAGCUACACUAGCAGGGAACUACUGUUUUGUUGUCCUAGAUCCCCAAUUCUGUUUCCAGCAUUGUUGUACAUCACCGUCAUCGAUAUUGUGUCCAUUGGGACCAGCAAGCACACUGCCACCUCUCACACUUACUUCUGACCCACUGGGCUGUGGAGCCACCUAAACAUGGCCGUCUCCCAGACCUGUGGGUUGAGGUCUGA